rnacentral:rRNA from 1 species
UACGUAGGGUGCGAGCGUUAAUCGGAAUUACUGGGCGUAAAGCGUGCGUAGGCGGUUUCAUAAGCUUGAUGUGAAAGCCCCGGGCUUAACCUGGGAAUGGCAUUGAGGACUGUGUGGCUUGAGUGCGGCAGAGGGAGGUGGAAUUCCACGUGUAGCAGUGAAAUGCGUAGAGAUGUGGAGGAACACCGAUGGCGAAGGCAGCCUCCUGGGCCGACACUGACGCUGAGGGCACGAAAGCGUGGGGAGCAAACAGG